AGCGGCCUUCCGGGUCCCUCCCUCCGCCCUGCGGGACUGCGCGGUCACUCCCGCUGCGGCUCCGGCCUGGGGCGGCGCUGUCGCGCUCCAUGCUGCAUCCCUGCCCCCUCCGCGAGGCUCGGGAGCACCCGGGCGUGGCCCGCCCCGCGGCCCGUUCGCCUCCCGUCUGCCCCCUGGAGGCCGGCGGGCGGCACUGCGCGCGGGCGGGGCGGGGCGGGCCUGGAGCGGGGAAUCCGACAGCCGCGUGCGGCCUCACCCCGAGACCCCGGGCCAUGGCGCGGGUGCUCAUCGUGGGCGCCGGGCUGACGGGAAGCCUGUGCGCAGCGCUGCUCAGGAAGGAGGCGCCCCCUCCAGUGCACCUCACGGUGUGGGAGGAGGCUGGGGACUCAGGGGGAAGAAUGACGACAGCCAGGAGCCCUUAUAAUCCACAGAGUACGGUUGACUUGGGUGCUCAGUACAUCACCUGCACGCCUCACUAUGCCAAGCAACACCAAAGUUUUUAUGAUGACCUGUUAGCUCUUGGCAUUUUGAAGCCUCUGACCUCUCCUAUUGAAGGGAUGGUGAUGAAAGAAGGAGACUGUAACUUUGUGGCACCUCAAGGAGUUUCUUCAAUUAUUAAGCACUACUUGAAAGAAUCAGGUGCUGAUGUCUGCUUCAGACACCGUGUGACUCAGGUCAACCUGCGGAAUGACAAGUGGGAAGUCUCCAAGGAAACAGGUCCCCCCGAGCAGUUUGAUAUCGUUGUCCUCACGAUGCCGGUUCCACGGAUUCUGCAGCUCCAAGGCGACAUCGCAAACUAGCAGUUCUACUUGUAUGAUAGAAGCACUGAAUGGAAUAUAGCAGGAAUUUGGGUAGAUCUUUUUCUCCAUUUGCCAAAAGGCACCGGCACUGUUCUUUAUUUUGACAUACAUGAGACCAACUGUUAGAAACUGGGGUAGUGGAGGCCAGCAGAUGUACAAGGAGACCCACAUUCUCCAUGGCCCCGUGUGUAUGCAGCUCUCCCCAGGAUUUGUCACACUCGACACAGUCUGUGAGCGUCUGCUGUCAGCACUCCUGGCAUCACUCCCCUAAGUGUGAAAUGAGACCUCGCCGGGCUGUUGAGGUUGUUCAGGUGCAACAGUUUACUCCUCUUAUGAAUGGUUCUGAAGGAGCAUCUCUGGGUCUUGUUGUUGAAGCUGUUGUCAUGUGACCCAGUGGGGGGCGAGCCUUCCUUCCCAUGCACAGGGCUUCCUGGAAGGCUCCACGGAGCAUGUGUGUUAAAUGAACUCCCUUAUCAUUUGUUGGUAUUUGAAUGUGUGGAUUUUUUAAAAAAUACACGUUUCCUCAGCAAUAGGUAGGGACAUAUUUGUAAUCAUGUAAAUAUGUGGUAUAAUUACCUCAUGAGGCACCCCUAAAUGAAUUGUUUAAAUGUUCUCUGUGUCUGUCUGAAAUUAGUCGAUGUGGGGGUCGUUAUGGUGACACUGCCUUCUCGGUAUUUUGCUCUGGAAUGUGUCUGUCCCAGCUAUCAUUCCGCUGGCUCUUAGCGCUGCCCGAUGAGGUCGUGGGUCAUGGCCCUUCGGAAUGUGGAGAUGGGCACCCAGAGUCUUGGCCGGUGACUCAAUCAAGCAGACGACCCAGCAGGGGAAACUGGUCUGGAAACUAAUAAGAACAAACAAAACAUGACUGGAAGUUAAUCCGAGUGCAUAAUUUGGAUAUUUUCCCUGAAACGGCAAUUCUCACACUAUUUUUAUUUCGAGAUGGAUGUAGAGCAAAACAUCAUGGAAGAAAUUGUCAAGAAAACAAUACCUUUUGACAGAAUGAACUUCUGGGAACUGUCAGCUCGUUCAUAAUAAGAGCCACAUAAUGCCGAAUUGUGCUGUUCGAUUUAUAUGGACUCUAUACUGUUACUUUUUUCCCUUACUAAAGUCUUUCUCAAUAUUGUUACUUUUUUCCCUUUCCACUAAAGUCUUUCUCAGUUUAAGUUUUGGGUCAGUACUCUAGAAAAAUGAAGAGAAAAAGUUUGGGAUAAGACACAGGGAACUUCUCCUUGGUUUGCUGGAUGGAAAAUACAGAUUAUGUUGUGGAAUCCCCGGAGAAGCAGGGAAGAGUGGCUUCAGCGAAGCAGCAGGCGUCUCUGGGAAGGCAGUGCUGUGGGCCCCUGGGACCUUCUCGGAUGAGCUGCUGCUGGAAACUUGCUGAAGCGUUACCUUACUGUCAUCAUCAAACAACGACCAAACUGGAUGAUCCCAGGGUGCCUGGGUCACAGGACUGCCGUGUUAAUUCUGCAUUUCCAUACUGUACAGCACAAACAGCCUACCAUCUUUCCAACUUGAAUUUAAAGCAGUCAGACUCCAGACCAAGCAGAACUCAUCUUCUCUCUGAGAGCAUCCUUUCCAGAGGGAUAGUUCCCACCUCCAUCAGGAAAGAAGACUGGAAGUUAACAGUCAUCCACAUCCAAGUCAAGGGUGUCCUCAAGGGGUCGUAGGUCACUCAGGCACGUGUGCUGUUUGUUUUCUCAGAAUCGAGUGGUUCUGGGCAUCCCUGCUUCUCAGAGCGCUCAUCCCCACCAUAUGCAACAUUUUAAAUUGAGGCAAGAGACCCUGGAAAUGAUUCUUGAAAGUCAAAUCCUUUAGUUUGAUGGACAGAUAGCCUCAUGUAUUUCCCGCCUCAAAGUUCCGCAAACUCUUCUCCGUUGUACUGUGCGAAUAACAGGGGCACAGGAGGAGAGCACCGAGGAGACGUGUCAAGCCAAGGAGAAGACAGACAGCAGUCCUUCCAGCUGGUAGAAAUCAGAGGGAGGGCACCAGAGCACAUUCAUCUCACCACAGACCAGUCCAAAAGGACAGAGAUAUGCAGCUGUUGGCCUUUCUUUAUCCCACGGGGUACUUCCAAAUGAGGCAAACACACAGAAGGAUGUAGAGAAAUCCUGUUUCUCUGAAUGAAAAAGAGAAAAAAGACGGAAGAGCUAACACUUAAAUAGUGCUUGCCAGGUCCUCUCUAAAUGUUUUAAGUAUAUUAACUAAUUUAAUUCUAGCAACAACCCUCACAUUAUUGUCCGCAUUUUCAUGAGGAAACUGAAAUACAGAGAAGUCAAGUAGCUUGCCCAAGACACAGAGCUUGUAAAUGACCUAGCCUGUGCAAGGACUCCCACCCAGCCUGCCUGGCUACACCCCUCGCUCUACAGCUGUGCCUUGAACUUGUCAGACUUCGCUGGAAACAAGUAUUUCAAGGACAGUGUUGUCUGAAGAAUCAUGACUAUUAAUAUAUGUGACUUUAUCCAUUCUGAAGCAAAAGCCUUCUGGUGUCUCAGACAUCUGCUUCUUGGUCAUUCAGAUUUCAAGUCAUCAGUUGGCCACUAAGACCUAUUUUAGGAACCAGUUCUCACGUAGACUAGCUUGUCGGAACCCUGGGGCCAAAGAUACCUUCUGUUGUCAUUUGAACCCACUCACAAUCUUUGCAUUUUAUUACAAUUAAUAUACAAAUAUCACCUAAGGUGUGUGAAGUACGUUUAUGUGUAUUUAGUGCCUUUUGACCAAUUGUUUCUGUUAAAUAAAUAUCUUUGUGCAUUUUA